AAGCGCAUUUGUCGGCGCGGAAGAACUACAUGCCGACAAUCGCGCAUUGCUUUCGACUUGUGACCGCGGAGGCACUGGCUCAAGUUUUGAGAGCGAAAAGACAGAAGGCCGGGGCCAGGUGCUCCGGCCUUUUUGUUA
rnacentral:sRNA from 1 species